rnacentral:sRNA from 1 species
UGGGAUGUCAAGUUCCGGAUUUGUCGUCUGCUAGCAUCCAGCUUGGCAUCCUUAGAAACAAACUUUUCUGCAUCACUUUUUUAGAGUUUGUCUCAAAUAGGAUAUCAAUUUUUGAAAAAAAAAUCUACAACUAGAUCUACAACCUGAUCAGCUUAAAUAUGGAGUGUGAAUCAAAAAUAUCAAGCAAAAAUGUUAAAAAGAGUUUUUCAGCGCCUAUUAAAAAAACAACAAAUACGCUUGAAGAAUGUAGUAAAGGGCUAUUCAAAAGUGACAAUGUAAAAGUUAAAAAG